UACGAAGGGGGCUAGCGUUGUUCGGAAUUACUGGGCGUAAAGCGCACGUAGGCGGAUAUUUAAGUCAGGGGUGAAAUCCCAGAGCUCAACUCUGGAACUGCCUUUGAUACUGGGUAUCUUGAGUAUGGAAGAGGUAAGUGGAAUUGCGAGUGUAGAGGUGAAAAUUCGUAGAUAUUCGCAGGAACACCAGUGGCGAAGGCGGCUUACUGGUCCAUUACUGACGCUGAGGUGCGAAAGCGUGGGGAGCAAACAGG
rnacentral:rRNA from 1 species